UACGUAGGGGGCAAGCGUUUGUCCGGAUUUAUUGGGCGUAAAGAGCGUGUAGGCGGCCAGGUAGGUCUGCUGUGAAAACUCGAGGCUCAACCUCGAGAUGUCGGCGGAAACCAUCUGGCUAGAGUCCGGAAGAGGAAAGUGGAAUUCCCGGUGUAGCGGUGAAAUGCGCAGAUAUCAGGAAGAACACCGAUGGCGAAGGCAGUUCUCUGGGACGGUACUGACGCUGAGACGCGAAAGCGUGGGGAGCGAACAGG
rnacentral:rRNA from 1 species